rnacentral:rRNA from 1 species
UACAGAGGUCUCAAGCGUUGUUCGGAUUCAUUGGGCGUAAAGGGUGCGUAGGUGGCGCUGUAAGUCAGGUGUGAAAUUUCGGAGCUUAACUCCGAAACUGCAUUUGAUACUGCGGUGCUUGGGACUGGAGAGGAGACUGGAAUUUACGGUGUAGCAGUGAAAUGCGUAGAGAUCGUAAGGAAGACCAGUGGCGAAGGCGGGUCUCUGGACAGUUCCUGACACUGAGGCACGAAGGCCAGGGGAGCAAACGGG